CUCACUCAAGUUCGUCUGCACUCUGCAGUGUAAAUAACAUGUAUCUCGUAACUUUUACUCUUUACCAUCUUUACUUUACUCUCAUUGAAUUGUUUGAUUGUAGUGGGCAUUUAAAAAAUGUGGCCGAGGCCUCACGAAAAAGUUCGCUCUUCUUUCUCGAUUGCGAUUUCCUAUCCUGUGUUACCCAUGAGUGACUCGUUACCCCCCCCCCCCUUUUAACGUGGUUGAAAACAGCCGAUGUGCCCAGAUUAAAUUGGUGUAAGAAAUGAUGCAUUGAUGGGUUCGCCUGCAUUGGAUUUUUCUAUUUCCCUUAAAGACAAAUAAGUGAUGCCGUAAAAUGUUGUUCUGUGUACGUGAACUGAACUGCUCUUUAGAGAAUCCAUCGAUGUAGAACAAGUGCUAUGGAGUGAACUCCAACAUUCAGUAACAGCAACCUAACUAUGUAAACUGCCAGACACAAUGUUUGCCUGGAUUAAGAAGAAUUCCAAUCUCCAGUCUACAUGGGGAUUGACUCUAGAAUCUUUGGAUCACGACCGACAUGCGCGUAGAUGCUGAUUCAUCGCGUCAGAGGAGACACCUCAAAUGUUACUUGUCGCACAAGUUCUCCAUUACGGGUUGUGGCGAGUUAAGCAAAGAUACAUGAUUGACACUAGCAUCCAACUUACACCGACGUCGCAACCGGAUUCCUUGCCAUCUGUUAUCGGAAUGAUCAGAUUAGGUGGAAGAUGUCAAGGCUCUAAAAUCCGGUGCAUUUUUAGCGAUAAUCAUCGGGAUCUGUUUAUUAUCCAUUUCAGACCUACCGAUAUCAUCAUCGUCCACUGCCAGGCAAAGCAUUUCAAUCAGGAACAACGGUUCACAAUCCUCGUGAAAUGUCCUCUUUCUAUGAGACUAAAACCGGAAAGCUGAUGACCCUACAACAGUCCCACUUCUUUCUCUGGUAUCCUCAGGUGAAGUUACGUCGCAAAGUAUAGCUGACUGGUCUACGAGUGGAGGUCUCAUGCCAAAUUUCAAGAGGAUCACAGAUCAAAGACAAAUCACAGAUCUCUGGUCAAGUUAUAUGACAGCUCGACAGUUCAGGACCCUUCGCUCACUUCCGUGAAGCGGGAGCAGCAGCAGCGACCCCAUCCUCAAAGAAUGGUCUCCAGUUCAACAGCAGCUGCCGAUAAAGGUCCUGGAAUCACGAACUUACUCGCCCGUUUAGUGCGUCGAUUCGCCAAUUAUUAGUUUGGCCGUUUGCAUCGCAUCGGACAACAUGACUGCAAUGAACCGAAACUAGGAUCGUCCGUGUGUUGCCGGAGUGACAAAAGAUAUUUACUUGUUGAGGAUCGUGAAUCAAAUCAUUCGAUCGGCUGAAGAAUAUCUUGGUUCUCUCGAAUGACCCGGCGUAACAACUCACAGAUAUCGCCAGGAUCAACUCGCUUAUUCAAUCCCGCCAUUUAGGGAUCCAGCGAAGACAAAUUUUACUCCCCAGCUGAAUUUUUCAAUGUCGUACCAAAUGAGAUCGUUGUCCACCAUUCAACAUCAGAUGUCACUGCUCCAGUCGAUCUGCUGGACAGUAUUCCGACUUGAUUCAUUUCUCUUUGUGAUUGUUUGAAAUUGCCGUGAACUUGUUUGUUAUUUUUGUUUGUUUUUUGUUCUGCUCUUCGUCUUUUUUUGAAGCGCCUAGAGUAGCGUAUCUGAGAAAUCGUCAGACAGUUGGCGUAUUGGCCGAGUCGAAGCCGCUGUAGAAAGUUAGAUUGGCGGUGAUCGUGCGUCCAAGGCCAGUAUUGUGAUGGUAAGUCAGAUAACGCUGCCGCAAUUGUUUAUAUCGAAGUUUAUCUUUUCUUUUAAAUGCGACGAUGCAUUAACGUAAGUAGUUGUGUGAGUAAGAGUUAAUUGGGGAAGUAUUAGGUUAGUACCUGCAUGGUUAUAUAUAAUAAGAACAGACAUGGGAAACAGUGGGAGACAGUAUGGAGGGAGUAGAUAACGGACCUGGGGACUUUCUCAGUUCUUAUAAAUAAUAGCUAUUAUCCACAGCUAUUAAACAAAGGUCUUACAUCGGGUUUGAUCAUCAGAUCCUUAAGGUUUGGUUGGGAAUUUUGUGGAAUGUUUCAAUUUCGGGUACAUCAUCAGUAGGUUAUUGGUUACAUCUUCAAAUUGUUAAGAUGGAAUUUUGUGUUCGAAUCUUGUUGAAGAAAGUUCAGGGAAGGUUUAGGUCCUGUUUAAGAGAGUAGGAAGCAGAACUGUAGAGCAUUCUGUGACACCGUUCAUAUAAAUAUGUUAAGUUCCACCGAGUCAUGACGUGAUAUUGACACCCAUGAACAUGAUUGCAUUUAUUGUUUAAA